rnacentral:rRNA from 1 species
AGAAUCAACGCUGGCGGCGUGCCUAACACAUGCAAGUCGCACGAGAAAGGGACUUCGGUCCUGAGUACAGUGGCGCACGGGUGAGUAACACGUGAAUCAUCUACCUCCGAGUGGGGAAUAACCUAGAGAAAUCUGGGCUAAUACCGCAUAACACUUACGAGUCAAAGCAGCAAUGCGCUUGGAGAGGAGUUCGCGGCAGAUUAGUUAGUUGGCGGGGUAAUGGCCCACCAAGACGAUGAUCUGUAUCCGGCCUGAGAGGGCGCACGGACACACUGGAACUGAAACACGGUCCAGACUCCUACGGGAGGCAGCAGUGGGGAAUUUUGCGCAAUGGGGGAAACCCUGACGCAGCAACGCCGCGUGGAGGAUGAAAUAUCUUGGUAUGUAAACUCCUUUCGAUGGGGAAGAUAAUGACGGUACCCAUAGAAGAAGCCCGGCUAACUUCGCGCCAGCAGCCGC